AGAGUUUGAUCCUGGCUCAGAAUGAAUUCUGGCGGCGUGCCUAACACAUGCAAGUCGUACGAGAAAGACUGUUUUCGGAUGGUCGAGUAAAGUGGCGCACGGGUGAGUAACGCGUAGGUAACCUACCCUUGUAUUGGGGAUAACAGGACGAAAGUUCUGCUAAUACCGGAUGUGACCUGGGGCUGGAGGGUUUCAGGUUAAAGUGGGCCUCUCGAAGAAGCUCAUGUACAGGGAUGGGCCUGCGUCCUAUCAGCUUGUUGGUGGGGUAAUGGCCUACCAAGGCGACGACGGGUAGCUGGUCUGAGAGGAUGAUCAGCCACACUGGCACUGGAACACGGGCCAGACUCCUACGGGAGGCAGCAGUGAGGAAUUUUGCGCAAUGGGAGCAAUCCUGACGCAGCAACGCCGCGUGGGUGAAGAAGGCCUUCGGGUCGUAAAGCCCUGUCAGGUGGGAAGAAGGGUCCUAUCAGGAAAGGGGUGGGAUUUGACGGUACCACCAGAGGAAGCACCGGCUAACUCUGUGCCAGCAGCCGCGGUAAUACGGAGGGUGCGAGCGUUAUUCGGAAUUACUGGGCGUAAAGCGCGUGUAGGCGGGGGAGCAAGUCUGAUGUGAAAGCCCCGGGCUUAACCCGGGAAGUGCAUUGGAAACUGUUUUUCUUGAGUACUGGAGAGGAAGGGGGAAUUCCCGGUGUAGAGGUGAAAUUCGUAGAGAUCGGGAGGAAUACCAGUGGCGAAGGCGCCCUUCUGGACGGUUACUGACGCUGAGACGCGAAAGCGUGGGGAGCAAACAGGAUUAGAUACCCUGGUAGUCCACGCUGUAAACGAUGAGCACUAGGUGUAGCGGGUACUCAUUCCUGCUGUGCCGCAGCUAACGCGUUAAGUGCUCCGCCUGGGGACUACGGUCGCAAGACUAAAACUCAAAGGAAUUGACGGGGCCCCGCACAAGCGGUGGAUGAUGCGGUUUAAUUCGUUGCUACGCGAAGAACCUUACCUGGGUUUGACAUGUACGUGGUACGGAUCCGAAAGGUGAAGGACCGGGGUUUUCCCCGGAGCGUACACAGGUGCUGCACGGCUGUCGUCAGCUCGUGCCGUGAGGUGUUGGGUUAAGUCCCGCAACGAGCGCAACCCCUGCCGAUAGUUGCCAUCAAGUCAUGCUGAGCACUCUAUCGGGACCGCCUGGGUUAACCAGGAGGAAGGUGGGGAUGACGUCAAGUCAUCGUGGCCUUUAUACCCAGGGCGACACGCGUCAUACAGUGGCUGUUACAACGGGCUGCAACACCGCGAGGUGAAGCUAAUCCCUUAAAGGCAGCCAUGGUUCGGAUUGCAGGCUGCAACUCGCCUGCAUGAAGAUGGAAUCGCUAGUAAUCGCAGAUCAGCCAUGCUGUGGUGAAUGCGUUCUCGGGGCUUGU
rnacentral:rRNA from 1 species